UUUGUGUGUACCCACUAGGCCACUGCCCAUAUUGUCUGCAACCCAAAAAAAAAAAAGUUACUUCUAUUUUCCACCGUAUAAACAUUAAAGGCUUCAUUGGAUCUGAAGCUGAAGCGGUUUUCCUGGAAACUCAAAGGCGGUUUUCUUUUUUCUUUCUGAGUUUCAGCACCUAUAAAAUCCAAGCUGAGAUUCAGAAAUCUGAUAGCAACCCAUUUCCUAGAACUGUGAGAAGAAUCAUGGGUCGGUCUUGUUUCCUUAGGGCGCUGUUUCUUUCAGCUCUUCUGCUUCUCUCCUCCUCUCAUGGAUUCGGGAGAAAAGCCAUGGAAAGUUUUGAGCUUAAAGAUUCUUCCACCGUUCUUGUAAAGGAAAGUGCAGGAAAAGCAAGGGUGAUGAUCCAGAUGAUGGAUUAUGAAGAACCGGUGCCAAACACCAACCCUAAAUCCGGUUACUAUCUCAGCCCUCCUCCACAGGGCUGAUUGAGGAUAACUCUCCAAAUAAUAAGGAAGUUUAAAUGUAUUUUUUUAUUUUUUUUAUUUUUUUAUGUUUUGGUUGAGCUUGAUGGGUGAAGUAUAGUGCCUGUUGAUUAAUGUUUGUGACCAAUUGUAAUUUGUGAUUAGUAAUAUUAAUCAUGUUAUGAGAAAAAAAAAUUAUAUGGAUU